GCUGGGUGUGGUGGCGCAUGCCUGUAGUCCCAGCUACUUCGGAGGCUGAGGCAGGGGAAUCGCUUGAACCCAGGAGGUGGAGGUUGCAGUGAGCUGAGAUCAUGCCACUGCACUCCAGUUAGCCAGGUGUGGUGGUGUGUGCCUGUAGUCCUAGCUACUUGGGAGGGUGAAGUGGGAGGAUCACUUGAGCUUGGGAGGUUGAGGCUGCAGUGAGCCAUGAUUGCACCACUGCACUCCAGCCUGGGUAACAGAGCCAGGUCCUGUCUCAU
ensembl:misc_RNA Metazoa_SRP Metazoan signal recognition particle RNA